CAUUCCCACCAUUUUGAAAGCGCAGGCGUGCGGCUCGUGAAGGUCAGAGCAUUGUCUCAGUACAGCAAAAGAAUGAAAGUAAUGUUGAUAAACCACUUAAAACAUUCCUGAAACCUGAUUUUCUGCUACUGAACAAUGCUAAUUGUUGACCAUUUACACAGCGGUGUCCUCACAUGGAUGUGAUUCAAAAGGACAUCGUCGUCCUCUGACCUGGAGGCUUUACUGAGCUCUUUACGGUAAUUACGCUAUGAUUUUACUGGCCCGGCCCACUUGACAUCUAAUUAGGCUGUAUGUGGCUCCUGAACUAAAAUGAGUUUGACACCCCUGUUUUAAAGGAUCAGAAUUGAGGAUCUGAGCAUCACUCUGAAUUCCAGUUAUCCCAGUAUGGAGAGUUAUAGUGGUUCCUUCCACUUCCUGCAGUGUGACCGUCUCGUCUCCAGCUGCACACAGUAAACCUGCAGCACAGCUUCAGCUUCAGAUUAAUCAUUUCACUCACAAUCAUAAUCACACACAGUCCAUUAAAACUAUACCGUGCUCCAGAUUAAUGCUGUUUUCAACUACAAAAAUAACAUACUUCUGCAAAUCUGACACAUUACAUGUCCAAAAGCAUGUGGACACCUGACCAUCACACCCAUGUGUGUUUUUUCCUCUAACUGUUGCCCCAAUGUCUGAAGCACACAAUUGUAUAGAAUGUUUUUGUGUGCUGUAAAUUCAUGCAGAUAAGUCAAGUUGUACCAGAAGGGCUGGGUUGAAUAUUUCAGAAACUGUCAGAUCAGACCAGUCUGGUUAUUCUCCUCUGAUCUCUCUCAUCAACAAGGUGUUUCAGCCUGCAGUCCUCCACAACACGGGAUGUUUUUUUGUUUUUCGCACCAUUCUGUAUAAACUCUAGAGACUGUUGUGUGUGAAAAUCCCAGGAGAUCAGAACUUUCUGAAAUACUCAAACCAGCUCAACUGGUACCAACAACCACAACCAUGCCACGGUUAAAGUCACAGAGAUCAAACCUUUUGUCCAUUCUGAUGUUUGAUGUGAACAUUAAUUGAAGUUCUUCACCUGUAUCUGCAUUAUUAGCUGAUUAGAAAACUGCAUAAAUAUCCAGGUGUACUGGUGUUCCUAAUAAAGUGGACAGUGAGUGUAUAUGUAAAUAACUUUGGAGAAAUUGGGAUAUAUUUAAAUAAAAUGUACAGAUUUGUCCAGUACACCUUCUGUACAUUUAAUCUCUGCCUCUAAAAAUUAAGGUACAUGAAUGGUCCUUAAGUUAACUGUGUUCUUAAAAUAAAUUUUAGGAUAAAAUUCACAUUCACAGAAUAACAGAAGAGAUAGAAGCUAUAGGAAUAACAGAUGUACUGUAGAGAGAAGAUCCCCAGAGACAAUGAAAAGUACUGUUUAGUGUUUAUUUGUGAGAGUUUAAUAAAAGGAAAUAAACUAAGAGACUGUUGUAUUUGUGUGAAAAGUCAGAGUUGUGUGAAAGCUGAUCUUUUCAGAGGAUUCAUUAACACACAGCUCUAAACUGCUGUAUCACUGUUCAGAUUAACACUGAGGAAAACUCCUUCAUCCAACACACACAGUAUUACACCUGAGUUCCACAUCUAGUUUUACUCUCUUCAGGAUCAACUUAUUUUAUAGAAACUCUUCAUAUUUACAGUUAGUUUCUCCUGAAGUGAAGGAAAAGUGUAAACUUACAGCACAGCAAGAAAAGCAAAGUCCAGAGAAUCCUGUUUCCUGAGAAAAUAUCCAUCAUUUUCAUAAUCCAUCGUGUUUCUCAGCCCAACAUUUCCCCGUGUUCCUGAACAUCAGUGUCAGUGAAGAAUCCAGUGCACAAAGCAGUGAUUUAUUGUGUAUUUUAGCCGGAUUUAUGGAGCUGUGAAACACAACCUUCCUCACACUGUUAGCUUAGCGAACUGGUACAUCCUGUGGAAAUGCUAACUCCUGCCUCAGCGUGUUCAGUACAGGCUCACACAGGGUUUCCUUUCAGCUCUGUGGAUCUGCACAUUUAUUUACAUAUAAAAUAGCUCUCUCAGAUGUAUUUAUUGGGGGUCUCUAACAUUUAAAUUCAUACAGAACUUAUUUAACAGCAGUCAUGCAGCACCUUUGUGUGAUUUAUGAGCAAUAAUGAUAGGAAAAUGUAUUUAGCAGAAAAUCACGCAAAACUGGAUGAAUUCUCUAAAUAUCUCAUUUGUAAAACUGAACUUUAAUAUUGACCUGUUCAAAUAAUUACUGUAUGUCUAUUAGAAUGAAAAUGGAAUUGACGUACUGUACAUUCUCCCAUGUUGUUUCUCUACAAAUAAUUAACAAUAAAUAUUGAAUGGUCAUUUGACUGAAAACAAAAUGGUGGUCUCUGACAUUUGUACUGUACAGUGAAUAUAAAUGGGGUUGUAGAGGCGUUUAAAAAGGAAUGUUGAAAAACACUGUCAUUAAUCACCCUGUAAUUAUUACCAGAUGUCAAAAGAUACCAGCUCCAACAUAUAUCCUACAGCUGAACAUUGUUGUGUACAGUAUAAACACAGCAGUCCUGAAUAAAAGAUGCAGUAGUUUAUAUUCUCUGCUGUACGCCUGACCCCCGCAUGUUCAUCAGUGUUACUGACCAUAAACAAAUUCUGCUAACUCCAACCAUCGCCAUGUAGCAAUAACAAUCUGAAUAGUUCAUAUUCUCAUCCUAAACCCAUUUAGUUUCUAUUUUACAGUUUCAGAACCGUGUCAUGUACCUGUGCUCCAAUAUUAUGAUUAACACAGUGUUCUCGCCUUCCCUCUAAUGUCUGUACAUUAUAAACCCGUCUGCACAUUUUAACAAAAGUCUGGUGCUGAGAAGUCAUUUGCAUUUAAAAUACACUGGUUAUGCGUGUUUACCGUGGAUUUGAAUAAGCUUUGAGAAAUGCUUUACAUAAUUCCAUGUGAUUUUUUCAUGUACCUGUGCUCCAAUAUUAUGAUUAACACAGUGUUCUCGACUUCCCUCUAAUGGAUCAUCCAUAACCAUGUGGAGUCCUGGUGCCCCAUCCAGGGUGUAUUCCUGAUUCAUUCAGAAGUUUGUACACCCUCAGAUGCAUUAUAAAGGCGGGGACUCUGAACACUUAUUGAUGUGAAACACUUUGAUGUUUGUCCUUAACUGAGAAUCAGGUUUAAAUGUGUAUCUGUGUUAAAUUAGUGAAGCAGUGUACAGACCCAAUGACAGUAAAUUAUCGUGUCAGUAUUAAAGCUGCUAUUUGAUACGAUUUUAAAACAGAAAUGGAAAUGAUUGGAAUUUAGACAUUGUACAGAUGUGAAGAUAUUAACGGUGUAAUGGUUUGGUCAGUAAGAACACAGAAACAAUGAGAAUAAUCUGAGAGUCAGUAGACUCCUCAGGGGAGUGUGAUUAUCACGGACCCUCCUGAAAUCAACAAAUGUCUCCUGCAUGACCACACCCUGUAAUAUUCUCUGUCUUAAUGCCUUGGGAUUUAUUUAAUACCACAGAGAAACACUCACAGGUUUAGCUAUACCUCUGUCAGGUUUUCAUGUCUGUAAAUGGUCCAAAAAAAAGGAAAUUCCCAGCAGAUGUUUGUGUUUAAUGUCUGAGUCAGUUACAGACAACGACUGCUGCCUCUCACCUGCUUCCUGUUUCCCAAACAGCAAGCUGGAACAUGUCGAGAGAUGGUUUUCCAUCAUCAGUCCCAUACUUUCAGUUUGUAAUACUCCUGUACUAACACUCUGUUCUGACUCUAAGCCUCAGUGUGUGUCUGGGCUUGUUGUUUUCAUAUUAGAAGUUAAGAAAUCAGUCACAUGAUCUCCCCACAGAUUAUAAUGAGCAUUGUAUAAAACAGGGAAAUAACCGCUUCAAACAAAAACUAACACAAAACCUUUUCGUGUCGAGUAACACCAUCACUUGAUGGCUCAGCAAACACAUCUGGCCAGUUUUUGCAGUUGAAUGAGGGUAGUGAUGUGGUUUUCUAGUCUGUCACUGCUUCCCCAUAUCGCCCACAGUUUAACACGAUUCUAAUCCUACUUUGUAUUUGCUAACAAGAAAUAUUUAAAUAGUCUGUUCAUUCUCAAAAGCAGCAUUAAAAACGACAACAGUGGUCUAUUUCACAUUCUCUAAUAUAAUUGUACACGGACAGGAAGCAUGAUCAGUA